rnacentral:rRNA from 1 species
AUUGAACGCUAGCGGGAUGCUUUACACAUGCAAGUCGAACGGCAGCGCGGACUUCGGUCUGGCGGCGAGUGGCGAACGGGUGAGUAAUGUAUCGGAACGUGCCCAGUAGCGGGGGAUAACUACGCGAAAGCGUAGCUAAUACCGCAUACGCCCUACGGGGGAAAGCAGGGGAUCGUAAGACCUUGCACUAUUGGAGCGGCCGAUAUCGGAUUAGCUAGUUGGUGAGGUAACGGCUCACCAAGGCGACGAUCCGUAGCUGGUUUGAGAGGACGACCAGCCAACACUGGACCGAGAACCCGCCCCGACCCCCUAGGGAGGGCGGCGGGGGGAAUUUUUGAACAAUGGGGCAACCCUGAUCCAGCCAUCCCGCGUGUGCGAUGAAGGCCUUCGGGUUGUAAAGCACUUUUGGCAGGAAAGAAACGUCGCGGGCUAAUACCCCGUGGAACUGACGGUACCUGCAGAAUAAGCACCGGCUAACUACGUG